UUAGGACAAUGAUCUAAGGUGAAACCUGCCCAAUGUACACUUUUUAAAAGGUAUGAAUGGCCGCGGUACUUUGACCGUGCUAAGGUAGCGUAAUCAAUUGGCUUUUAAAUGGAGUCAGGUAUGAAUGGAUUUACGGAAUUUGACUGUCUCUUGACCUAAUUUUUAGAAGUUACUGUGGAGGUGAAAAAGCCUUUAUAAAGAAAAGGGACGAGAAGACCCUAAGAGUUUUAUUUAAUGUGGGUAGGUACCCAUAAUGUUUUGGUUGGGGCAACAUAAGAACAAGAUUAGAUUUAACUUCUUGAAACCUAUGAAUCGAUUUUUGUAAAGAUAAACAAACUACCUUAGGGAUAACAGCAUAAUUUAAUAAUUAAGUUUGUGACCUCGAUGUUGGACUAGGGAACUAACGGGCUAGCCGCUCUUUAGAAAGGUUCUGUUCAACUAAAAU
rnacentral:rRNA from 1 species